rnacentral:rRNA from 1 species
GGUAUUUUGACCGUGCAAAGGUAGCAUAAUCAUUAGUUUUUUAAUUGAAAGCUGGAAUGAAAGGUUGGAUGAAAAAUAAGCUGUCUCUAUUUAAUUUUAUUAGAACUUUAUUUUUAAGUAAAAAAGCUUAAAUUUUGAUAGAAGACGAGAAGACCCUAUAGAGUUUUAUUUAUUUUUUAAAUAAGAUUAAUAGUAUUAAUUAUUUUUAUUUAAAAAAUAAAUUUAGUUGGGGUGAUUGAAAAAUUUAAUAAACUUUUUUUAUAUAUAUACAUUAAUAUAUGAUUAAUUGAUCCUUAAUUUAAGAUUAAAAGAUAAAAUUACCUUAGGGAUAACAGCGUAAUUUUUUUUGAGAGUUCUAAUCGAAAGAAAAGAUUGCGACCUCGAUGUUGGAUUAAAAUAAAAUUUUGGUGUAGAAGCUAAAA